rnacentral:lncRNA from 1 species
AAUGGGGCAGCUUCCACACUGCCCAGGAGCCAGGGCUUCUGACCCAGGAGCGAAAGUCUGUCUCUUCCAUUUCUGGGAGCUGGCAGUAUUUGCACGACUUUCUGGGCCUCAGGCAUCCCAUUGCCCACCAGGAAUUACCUUCCUCCAGGAUCAUGGUGAAGAUGACAUGAGAUGCUAAUGCUUGGCCUGCGGUUGCUAUUUUUAGUUCUCCACUUUCCUGGAAAGCAUGCAGUUGAAGUUCAUGACGGUAUUCUCUCAACGUGUGACUCAAAGACAGAGGCCGUUUCCCAUCCACCGGUUCUCACACUGCCCCAUUCUGCAGCUUCACCAUCCACGCGCUAAGAAGGCAGGCCCCAAAGUCUCAGCACCCAGCCGCUGGGGUCCUCGCUCUUAUGGACAGAAAACUCAAGAAUGAAUAUGUUUCCCCAUCUUGUGCCCUUUUGCCUGGAAACUAUACAGAGCAGGGGUCCCUGCUGGCAUUCCUUCUCUGUACUAGUACGGCUUCGGAAAGUACUGGUUCUCUGAGGAGCGCUCAGUUGCAUCUGGAAGGUGCAGUGUGCACAGCGAUGCCCCUUGACACCAAGGUGUGAGCAUUUGAGCUGUGCUGGAAGGUUCUCCAUGGAAUAGUGCCCACCCUGGAGGGUCCUGUGCCGCGCACUUGAGGAGGCUGUGGUGGUGAGGAGAGACUCUGGAGCAACCCACACUCCCGAUAAGUCAGAUAAGAGUGCCUCCUC